rnacentral:rRNA from 1 species
CAGGUAGGACUACCCGCUGACAAGCA